UAAGUUCAUUUUUUUCUUUAUUAAUGUACACACAGCACUCCAUAUUGACAGAAAAACACAGAAUUGUUGACAUUUUUGCAGAUUUAUUAAAAAAGAAAAACUGAAAUAUCACAUGGUCCUAAGUAUUCAGACCCUUUGCUGUGACACUCGUAUAUUUAACUCAGGUGCUGUCCAUUUCUUCUGAUCAUCCUUGAGAUGGUUCUACACCUUCAUUUGAGUCCAGCUGUGUUUGAUUAUACUGAUUGGACUUGAUUAGGAAAGCCACACACCUGUCUAUAUAAGACCUUACAGCUCACAGUGCAUGUCAGAGCAAAUGAGAAUCAUGAAGUCAAGGGAACUGCCUGAAGAGCUCAGAGACAGAAUUGUGGCAAGCACAGAUCUGGCCAAGGUUACAAAAAAAUUUCUGCUGUACUUAAGUUUCCUAAGAGCACAGUGGCCUCCAUAAUCCUUAAAUGGAAGACGUUUGGGAUGACCAGAACCCUUCCUAGAGCUGGCCGUCUGGCCAAACUGAGCUAUCGGGGGAGAAGAGCCUUGGUGAGAGAGGUAAAGAAGAACCCAAAGAUCACUGUGGCUGAGCUCCAGAGAUGCAGUCGGGAGAUGGGAGAAAGAUCCCCAAGAUUCUCAUUUGCUCUGACAUGCACUGUGAGCUGUAAGGUCUUAUAUAGACAGGUGUGUGGCUUUCCUAAUCAAGUCCAAUCAGUAUAAUCAAACACAGCUGGACUCAAAUGAAGGUGUAGAACCAUCUCAAGGAUGAUCAGAAGAAAUGGACAGCACCUGAGCUAAAUAUAUGAGUGUCACGGCAAUGGGUCUGAAUACUUAGGACCAUGUGAUAUUUCAGUUUUUCUUUUUUAAUAAAUCUGCAAAAAUGUCAACAAUUCUGUGUUUUUCUGUCAAUAUGGGGUGCUGUGUGUACAUUAAUAAAGAAAAAAAAUUAACUUAAAUGAUUUUAGCAAAUGGCUGCAAUAUAACAAAGAGUGAAAAAUUUAAGGGGGUCUGAAUACUUUCCGUACCCACUGUAUAUUGACUAAUGAGCUUUGACAUUUGUUAAUGAUUUAUUAAUGAAAGUUAUUAUAAAGUUUUACCCAAAUGUGUAAUUAGAAAUAUAUUAAAAUUAGGGUUUCAACAGAGUGGAAAAUUUCCUGAAUUUUUGGAAGCUUUCUUGGAUUUUUUUUUUUUUUUGAAAACUUUCAGAAAUUUUGGAAAUUGGGUUUAUGCAAAUGUACUGGAAAAUGCACACCUCAUUUGCAUCCCUAUUCAAAUACAAACA
ensembl:lncRNA